AAAAGUUAGGGAAACCAAGCUUAGCCUAGUUCCUUUGGAACUUAAAGUUUAAGAAGAACAAGCAUAGCCUACGAAUAGUAGCAGUCAUCGUAAAUAGAUAUUGUGGAGGAAGUAAGUGAGAAUAGAGGAAUGUAAAAAUGGAGAUGGAAUAAAGUGAGAACGGAGUACUCUAUUGAGGUGGGUCACCUCUUUUAUAGGGCAAAUGCCAGAAAUCCUUCCUCUUAUGCCCAAAUUUCAUUUCUCACCCACAGAAAUGUUAGGGUUAAGCUUACCCCAUAGGCUAAUAUGUAUGUGCAUACAGGACCGGCGCUGGG